UACGUAGGGGGCAAGCGUUGUCCGGAUUUACUGGGCGUAAAGAGCGUGUAGGCGGCCACGCAGGUCUGUUGUGAAAACUGGAGGCUCAACCUUCAGACGUCGACGGAAACCGUAUGGCUAGAGUCCGGAAGAGGAGAGUGGAAUUCCUGGUGUAGCGGUGAAAUGCGCAGAUAUCAGGAAGAACACCAAUGGCGAAGGCAGCUCUCUGGGACGGUACUGACGCUGAGACGCGAAAGCGUGGGGAGCGAACAGG
rnacentral:rRNA from 1 species